rnacentral:rRNA from 1 species
UACGUAGGGUCCAAGCGUUGUCCGGAGUUACUGGGCGUAAAGCGCGCGCAGGCGGCGGUGCUGGCCCGGCGUGAAAGCCCCCGGCUCAACCGGGGAGGGUCGUCGGGGACCGCACCGCUUGAGGGCGGUAGGGGCUGGUGGAAUGCCUGGUGUAGUGGUGAAAUGCGUAGAUAUCGGAAGAGACACCUGGUGGCGAAGGCGGCCUUCUGGGACCGAGCCUACGUG